GACGAACGCUGGCGGCGUGCUUAACACAUGCAAGUCGAACGGAAAGGCCCUGCUUUUGUGGGGUGCUCGAGUGGCGAACGGGUGAGUAACACGUGAGUAACCUGCCCUUGACUUUGGGAUAACUUCAGGAAACUGGGGCUAAUACCGGAUAGGAGCUCCUGCUGCAUGUGGGGGGUUGGAAAGUUUCGGCUGUUGGGGAUGGACUCGCGGCUUAUCAGCUUGUUGGUGGGGUAGUGACAUACCAAGGUUUUGACGGAUAGCCGGCCUGGGAGGGUGGACGGCGACAAUGGGACUACGAUACGGCGCAGUCGCCUACGGGAGGCAGCAGUGGGGAAUAUGACACAAUAAGCGGAAGCCUGAUGCAGCAGCGCCGCGUGCGGGAUAACGGGCUUCGGGUUAUGAACCGCUUUCGCCGGUGACGAAGCGUGAGUGACGGUAAUGAGUAAAGAAGCACCGGCUAACUACGUG
rnacentral:rRNA from 1 species